rnacentral:rRNA from 1 species
GCCUCAGUAACGGCGAGUGAAGCGGCAACAGCUCAAAUUUGAAAUCUGGCUCCUUCGGGGUCCGAGUUGUAAUUUGUAGAGAGUGUUUCGGGUGAGGCCGCGGUCUAAGUCCAUUGGAACAUGGCGUCAUAGAGGGUGAGAAUCCCGUAUGUGACCGUGGAUCGAGCCCAUGUGAAGCCUCUUCGACGAGUCGAGUUGUUUGGGAAUGCAGCUCAAAAUGGGUGGUAAAUUUCAUCUAAAGCUAAAUACUGGCUGGAGACCGAUAGCGCACAAGUAGAGUGAUCGAAAGAUGAAAAGCACUUUGGAAAGAGAGUGAAACAGUACGUGAAAUUGUUGAAAGGGAAGCGCUUGCAACCAGACCUGCCCGUAGGCGAUCAGCCGCUGUUCUCAGUGGUGCACUCGCUCUGCGAUCAGGCCAGCAUCGGUUUCGGCGGCCGGAUAAAGGCCUUGGGAAUGUAGCUCUCUUUCGGGGGAGUCUUAUAGCCCUCGGUGCAAUGCGGCCAGCCGGGACCGAGGACCGCGCUUCGGCUAGGAUGCUGGCGUAAUGGUUGUAAGCGACCCGUCUUGAAACACGGACCAAGGAGUCUAACAUCUAUGCGAGUGUUUGGGUGUUAAACCCAUGCGCGGAAUGAAAGUGAACGGAGGUGAGAACCCUUAAGGGCGCAUCAUCGACCGAUCCAGAUGUCUUCGGAUGGAUUUGAGUAUGAGCAUAGCUGUUGGGACCCGAAAGAUGGUGAACUAUGCCUGAAUAGGGUGAAGCCAGAGGAAACUCUGGUGGAGGCUCGCAGCGGUUCUGACGUGCAAAUCGAUCGUCAAAUUUGGGCAUAGGGGCGAAAGACUAAUCGAACCAUCUAGUAGCUGGUUCCU